AACGGGUGAGUAAUGCGUGACCAACCUGCCCCAUGCUCCAGAAUAGCUCUUGGAAACGGGUGGUAAUGCUGGAUGCUCCAACUUGACGCAUGUCUUGUUGGGAAAGUGUUUAGUGGCAUGGGAUGGGGUCGCGUCCUAUCAGCUUGUAGGCGGGGUAAUGGCCCCCCUAGGCUUCGACGGGUAGCCGGCCUGAGAGGGCGGACGGCCACAUUGGGACUGAGAUACGGCCCAGACUCCUACGGGAGGCAGCAGCU
rnacentral:rRNA from 1 species